rnacentral:rRNA from 1 species
UACGGGGGGGGCAAGCGUUGUUCGGAAUUACUGGGCGUAAAGGGCUCGUAGGCGGCCAACUAAGUCGGAUGUGAAAUCCCCAGGCUCAACCUGGGAACUGCAUCCGAUACUGGAUGGCUUGAAUUCGGGAGAGGGAUGCAGAAUUCCAGGUGUAGCGGUGGAAUGCGUAGAUAUCGGGAGGAACACCGGUGGCGAAGGCGGGUCUCUGGGCCGAUACUGACGCUGAGGAGCGAAAGCGUGGGGAGCGAACAGG